CUGACAGAAAAUGGGUGCGCAGACCCUUAUAAAGGCAUUAUUACAUCAUUGAAGAAAAUCAAGAUAUAGACAAAUAGACACUAUUGAUUGGUCCAGGUGUUAAGUGGUUAGUUAGGUACCCUCCUAUCAAGAGGUGAUGUCAUCCUUGACACGGGAGUGGACACAAGAUGUAGGCGCCAUCUUGUUAGCACGAGGUGUUCACUCGAUGGGAGGGGUGCUUUGGCAGCCAUCCAUUUAGAGCGUAGCUGGCACUUGUUAGUUUCUCAAGGUUAGGUUUCAAGGCUUUUAGUAAAUACACAUUUUAUCAAGCUAUUUCUUGCUGACAUGCAAAUUCUAUGUUCUAUAGACAAGGCUUUCUUGUAAAACUAUGGGGGCCUCUUAGAGGUAUUGUGGUGGAAUCUCGGUAAAAAUAAAUUUAGUAGGCCGAGAUUACCACGUGGCAUGUGUACGUGCAUAUGCUGACGUAUCGAUCAG